GAUGAACGCUAGCGAUAGGCUUAACACAUGCAAGUCGAGGGGCAGCAUGGUCUUAGCUUGCUAAGACUGAUGGCGACCGGCGCACGGGUGCGUAACGCGUAUGCAACUUGCCUCACAGAGGGGGAUAACCCGUCGAAAGACGGACUAAUACCGCGUACACUUGGGAUAGGGCAUCCUGACCCAAGGAAAUGAAAUUCGCUGUGAGAUAGGCAUGCGUCCCAUUAGCUAGUUGGUGAGGUAACGGCUCACCAAGGCGACGAUGGGUAGGGGAACUGAGAGGUUGAACCCCCACACUGGUACUGAGACACGGACCAGGCUCCUACGGGAGGCAGCAGUGAGGAAGAUUGGUCAAUGGGCGAGAGCCUGAACCAGCCAAGUCGCGUGAAGGAUGACUGUCUUAUGGAUUGUAAACUUCUUUUAUACGGGAAUAACAAGAGUCACGUGUGGCUCCCUGCAUGUACCGUAUGAAUAAGCAUCGGCUAACUCCGUG
rnacentral:rRNA from 1 species